GAUGAACGCUGGCGGCGUGCCUAAUACAUGCAAGUCGAGCGAACAGACGAGGAGCUUGCUCCUCUGACGUUAGCGGCGGACGGGUGAGUAACACGUGGAUAACCUACCUAUAAGACUGGGAUAACUUCGGGAAACCGGAGCUAAUACCGGAUCAUAUAUUGAACCGCAUGGUUCAAUAGUGAAAGACGGUUUUGCUGUCACUUAUAGAUGGAUCCGCGCCGCAUUAGCUAGUUGGUAAGGUAACGGCUUACCAAGGCAACGAUGCGUAGCCGACCUGAGAGGGUGAUCGGCCACACUGGAACUGAGACACGGUCCAGACUCCUACGGGAGGCAGCAGUAGGGAAUCUUCCGCAAUGGGCGAAAGCCUGACGGAGCAACGCCGCGUGAGUGGUGAAGGUCUUCGGAUCGUAAAACUCUGUUAUUAGGGAAGAACAAAUGUGUAAGUAACUAUGCACGUCUUGACGGUACCUAAUCAGAAAGCCACGGCUAACUACGUG
rnacentral:rRNA from 1 species